CCUACGGGUGGCAGCAGUGAGGAAUAUUGGUCAAUGGGCGCAAGCCUGACCCAGCAACGCCGCGUGAAGGAAGAAGGCUUUCGGGUUGAAAACUUCUUUUCUGAGGGACGAAGAAAGCGACGGUACCUCAGGAAUAAGCCACGGCUAACUACGUGCCAGCAGCCGCGGUAAUACGUAGGUGGCAAGCGUUAUCCGGAUUUAUUGGGUGUAAAGGGCGUGUAGGCGGGAAAGCAAGUCAGAUGUGAAAACUCAGGGCUCAACCCUGAGCCUGUAUUUGAAACUGUUUUUCUUGAGUGCUGGAGAGGCAAUCGGAAUUCCGGGUGUAGCGGUGAAAUGCGUAGAUAUACGGAGGAACACCAGUGGCGAAGGCGGAUUGCUGGGCAGUAACUGACGCUGAGGCGCGAAAGCGUGGGGAGCAAACAGGAUUAGAUACCCCUGUAGUC
rnacentral:rRNA from 1 species